rnacentral:rRNA from 1 species
UUGGGGGGGGUGCCUAAUACAUGCAAGUCGAGCGGACAGAUGGGAGCUUGCUCCCUGAUGUUAGCGGCGGACGGGUGAGUAACACGUGGGUAACCUGCCUGUAAGACUGGGAUAACUCCGGGAAACCGGGGCUAAUACCGGAUGCUUGUUUGAACCGCAUGGUUCAAACAUAAAAGGUGGCUUCGGCUACCACUUACAGAUGGACCCGCGGCGCAUUAGCUAGUUGGUGAGGUAAUGGCUCACCAAGGCAACGAUGCGUAGCCGACCUGAGAGGGUGAUCGGCCACACUGGGACUGAGACACGGCCCAGACUCCUACGGGAGGCAGCAGUAGGGAAUCUUCCGCAAUGGACGAAAGUCUGACGGAGCAACGCCGCGUGAGUGAUGAAGGUUUUCGGAUCGUAAAGCUCUGUUGUUAGGGAAGAACAAGUACCGUUCGAAUAGGGCGGUACCUUGACGGUACCUAACCAGAAAGCCACGGCUAACUACGUGCCAGCAGCCGCGGUAAUACGUAGGUGGCAAGCGUUGUCCGGAAUUAUUGGGCGUAAAGGGCUCGCAGGCGGUUCCUUAAGUCUGAUGUGAAAGCCCCCGGCUCAACCGGGGAGGGUCAUUGGAAACUGGGGAACUUGAGUGCAGAAGAGGAGAGUGGAAUUCCACGUGUAGCGGUGAAAUGCGUAGAGAUGUGGAGGAACACCAGUGGCGAAAGCGACUCUCUGGUCUGUAACUGACGCUGAUGAGCGAAAGCGUGGGGAGCGAACAGGAUUAGAUACCCUGGUAGUCCACGCCGUAAACGAUGAGUGCUAAGUGUUAGGGGGGGUUCCGCCCCUUUACUGCUGCAGCCUAAACGUCAUUAAGCUACUCCGCCUGCGGAGUACGUCGCGAGACUGAAAACUCAAAAGCAAAUUGAACCGAGGAGGGACCCGCG